rnacentral:rRNA from 1 species
CAUCUUUUCUCGUUAGUUUUUGAAGUAUGGCCUGCCCGCUGACUUUGGUGUUGAAGGGCCGCGGUAUUUUGACCGUGCAAAGGUAGCAUAGUCAUUAGUUCUUUAAUUGUGAUCUGGUAUGAAUGGCUUGACGAGGCAUGGGCUGUCUUAAUUUUGAAUUGUUUAUUGAAUUUGGUCUUUGGGUUAAAAUUCUUAGAUGUUUUUAUGGGACGAGAAGACCCUAUAGAGUUUAACAUUUGUUAUGGUCCCUUUCUGUUUGUGAGGGUUCAUUGGGCCGUUAAAUAUGUUUUGUUGGGGUGAUGGGAGGGAUUAUUUAACCCCUCCUUUUGUUAUUGUAUUUAUUUAUAUUUACUUGAUCCAUUUAUUUUGAUUGUAAGAUUAAAUUACC